rnacentral:siRNA from 1 species
AUGGAAUUACCAGAAGGAUGUAGU